UCCUACGUAUUAAUGGGUUAAGACGUCUGUUUUUGGCUUUCUAGUAUUCAGAAUCCUUCGCUUAAUGGGUUAAGACGUCUGUUUUUGGCUUUCUAGUAUUCAGAAUCCUUCGCUUAGAAAGUAAUUGGGACGCGGAAGCAUGGAAGUCGCUAGGGAGGCCCCAUCAGGAAAAAUAACAGAGAGAAAAAGUAUUUUUAAAAGAAGCGAAGUUGUCGCCUCCGGGCGCCCUUGCUGUCAUCAACUACGAAUGCUGGCAUUUUCGUCUAGAUCAACAUAUUAUAUUUUCUCGAA
rnacentral:lncRNA from 1 species